CAAAACGGAACACUUGCGACAGCAUACCCAAGAGUUAUGUGAAUCCAUCACCUGCAGCAAGGAACGACACAAUCUGGGAUCGGUUGGAGUGGCCAAUGGAAGAUUCUAGCCCCUAUGGUUGUCAAGAUAACCUUCUGAAUAUGAACCAGUGCACUGCUGACUUCCUGAGUCUACAGACUGGAAUGCCUCUGUUGCUGCCCAUAGUGCUCUCAAAUACCAGGAAGAGCCUGAUCCUGCAAGUUGCUGACUACCCAGUUUCCAGGAAUGAGAAUUGAGGAUGCAGCCACUGACACACGAGCUGUCCCACUGCGUUCAAACAGAAAUGGAAACCACACAACCACCUUUCAAGAAUACAGCCUAAUGUCAGAUAUCAGGCUCAAAUAAAUCACCUAUACUGGGAGUGGAGCAUGUCAUUUUAUUCCCAUAAAGUUCUAUGCAAAGUGAUGAUGUCAACUAAUAAUGAAUAAUGGGCCUGAUCAUGCCAUCAGUUUUUAAGAUGAAUGUUCUAUGACUUCAAUGGGGAAUCCUGCUUACAAAACUGCUGGCAUGACACGGCCUAAAAAAUGAUAUUGUAACGAGAUGAGGCAACAACAUCCCAUGGAAACAAGCUAACCCUGGACCAAGCUAUUUUUUUUUAACCUGAUGUCCAACAACUGGCUAUAUUUUUAAAAGUUAGGUGGCAACAAUGCUGUGUGUCUAGAGACCUGGUUUUAUUUUAUUUGUUGGUGAAGACUGCUUUUUAAUUUUUUUUUUAAAGGCACUGCCCUCUACCACUUAAACUGCUAUAAGUGAAAAUUCAGUUUUUAAAAAUGACCAGAAAAUAAUCUGUGUUUUACAAGGUUGCUGGUAAGCACAGAAAGAUGAGGGAAAGUGAUUUAUUCAA